CAAGCGACGACGAUUCCUCCAUUUUUAAUCCGCCUCAGAACCAAAGUGGCUCUGAUACCACUUGUUGGGAAAAGUGGUGAAUAAAUAUUCACGAGUGUCCAAAUAAAUGACACUUGCACAGCGGAACCAGGAUAAUUCUUUUCCCUCUUGCUGGAUUACAAAAUGGGAUCCAAACCAAGAAAAAUAUUUGGUGCAAAAUAUAAGAAAAUAUGAGACAAGAAUUUUUACGUGGAAAACCCAAAUUGGGAAAAACCACGAGACCGUAGUCUAGAAAAUCUUCCACUAUGUAUAUAGUAGGCUUACAAAAUUCUCCCUACACAAAAUAGGGGAAACACAAAUCUCAAGUUUAAUAACUUGGAAAACACAAGAGGACUGAGCUACUAUUUUAAGAGAGAUGAAAAA
rnacentral:lncRNA from 1 species